AACGAACGCUGGCGGCAUGCCUAACACAUGCAAGUCGAACGAUUGCCUUCGGGUGAUAGUGGCGCACGGGUGCGUAACGCGUGGGAAUCUGCCCUUAGGUUCGGAAUAACAGCUGGAAACGGCUGCUAUACCGGAUGAUAUCGCGAGAUCAAAGAUUUAUCGCCUGAGGAGGAGCCCGCGUUGGAUUAGGUAGUUGGUGGGGUAAAGGCCUACCAAGCCGACGAUCCAUAGCUGGUCUGAGAGGAUGAUCAGCCACACUGGGACUGAGACACGGCCCAGACUCCUACGGGAGGCAGCAGUGGGGAAUAUUGGACAAUGGGCGCAAGCCUGAUCCAGCAAUGCCGCGUGAGUGAUGAAGGCCCUAGGGUUGUAAAGCUCUUUUACCCGGGAAGAUAAUGACUGUACCGGGAGAAUAAGCCCCGGCUAACUCCGUG
rnacentral:rRNA from 1 species